GACGAACGCUGGCGGCGUGCCUAAUACAUGCAAGUCGAACGCUGAAGGAGGAGCUUGCUUCUCUGGAUGAGUUGCGAACGGGUGAGUAACGCGUAGGUAACCUGCCUGGUAGCGGGGGAUAACUAUUGGAAACGAUAGCUAAUACCGCAUAAUAGUAGAUGUUGCAUGACAUUUGCCUAAAAGGUGCAAUUGCAUCACUACCAGAUGGACCUGCGUUGUAUUAGCUAGUUGGUGGGGUAACGGCUCACCAAGGCGACGAUACAUAGCCGACCUGAGAGGGUGAUCGGCCACACUGGGACUGAGACACGGCCCAGACUCCUACGGGAGGCAGCAGUAGGGAAUCUUCGGCAAUGGACGGAAGUCUGACCGAGCAACGCCGCGUGAGUGAAGAAGGUUUUCGGAUCGUAAAGCUCUGUUGUAAGAGAAGAACGAGUGUGAGAGUGGAAAGUUCACACUGUGACGGUAUCUUACCAGAAAGGGACGGCUAACUACGUG
rnacentral:rRNA from 1 species